rnacentral:tRNA from 1 species
GCCCGGGUGUCGGAACUGGCAGACGAUCUGGCCUUAAAAGCCAAGGCCCCGCAAGGGGCGUGUGGGUUCGAAUCCCACCCCGGGCA